AACAACGAUAUUGGUACUAUGUUACAUUGAGCGUAAUGUGUAUGUAUGUGCAUUUAUGCUAGUGAUAUCAUUACUAUCAUCGUUGAUGUUGGUGGUUUUCAAUGGGUAUCGUUGAGAAUCGUGAAUUGGAGAACAUCGUUGACGAUGAAUGACAACGACACGUGGUUGGUUUUGAGUAAUGAUGAUGACUAAAUACACUAGGCAUAUUGCGAGUAGCACGUGAAGGCAGUUCACAUUGCAUGUAAUUCUUGCAAAUGCAACCUGAACUCGGAUGUGAUUACCCGCUGAACUUAAGCAUAUCAUUUAGCGGAGGAAAAGAAACUAA
rnacentral:rRNA from 1 species